UGUUUCGGCAAGGGGGUCAUCCCGACUUACCAACCCGAUGCAAACUGCGAAUACCGGAGAAUGUUAUCACGGGAGACACACGGCGGGUGCUAACGUCCGUCGUGAAGAGGGAAACAACCCAGACCGCCAGCUAAGGUCCCAAAGUCAUGGUUAAGUGGGAAACGAUGUGGGAAGGCCCAGACAGCCAGGAUGUUGGCUUAGAAGCAGCCAUCAUUUAAAGAAAGCGUAAUAGCUCACUGGUCGAGUCGGCCUGCGCGGAAGAUGUAACGGGGCUAAACCAUGCACCGAAGCUGCGGCAGCGACGCUUAUGCGUUGUUGGGUAGGGGAGCGUUCUGUAAGCCUGUGAAGGUGUGCUGUGAGGCAUGCUGGAGGUAUCAGAAGUGCGAAUGCUGACAUAAGUAACGAUAAAGCGGGUGAAAAGCCCGCUCGCCGGAAGACCAAGGGUUCCUGUCCAACGUUAAUCGGGGCAGGGUGAGUCGACCCCUAAGGCGAGGCCGAAAGGCGUAGUCGAUGGGAAACAGGUUAAUAUUCCUGUACUUGGUGUUACUGCGAAGGGGGGACGGAGAAGGCUAUGUUGGCCGGGCGACGGUUGUCCCGGUUUAAGCGUGUAGGC
rnacentral:rRNA from 1 species